rnacentral:rRNA from 1 species
AGAGUUUGAUCCUGGCUCAGAACGAACGCUGGCAGCGUGGAUGAGGCAUGCAAGUCGAGCGGGAUCGCCGGUGUAGCAAUACAGCGGCGUGAGAGCGGCGAAAGGGUGCGUAACGCGUAGGCAAUCUACCUUUAAGUUCGGGAUAACUCCGCGAAAGCGGUGCUAAUACCGGAUGUGAUCCGCCGGUCGCAUGACUGGUUGAUUAAAGACGGGGACCGCAAGGCCUGUCGCUUAUUGAGGAGCCUGCGUCCUAUCAGCUAGUUGGUGAGGUAACGGCCCACCAAGGCUUACGGGUAGGUGGACUGAGAGGUUGGUCACCCACACUGGGACUGAGACACUGCCCAGACUCCUACGGGAGGCUGCAGUCGAGGAUCAUUCGCAAUGCGCGAAAGCGUGACGAUGCGACGCUGCGUGGAGGAUGAAGGCCUUCGGGUCGUAAACUCCUGUGAUUCGGGAACAAUGCCGGGCGGACUAAUACUCCGACCGGAAAGAGAGUACCGAAAGAGGAAGCCACGGCUAACUCUGUGCCAGCAGCCGCGGUAAUACAGAGGUGGCGAGCGUUGUUCGGAUUUACUGGGCGUAAAGGGUGCGUAGGCGGUUCUGUAUGUCGGAUGUGAAAUCUGGAGGCUCACCCUCCAAAGUGCAUCUGAAACUGCAGAACUCGAGUACAGGAGAGGAGAGCGGAAUUCUUGGUGUAGCGGUGAAAUGCGUUGAGAUCAAGAAGAACACCAGUGGCGAAGGCGGCUCUCUGGAAUGAAACUGACGCUGAGGCACGAAAGUUGGGGGAGCAAAAAGGAUUAGAUACCCUGGUAGUCCCAACCCUAAACGGUGUACACUUGAUGUGGGAGGAGUUAACCCCUUCCGCGUCGAAGCUAACGCGCUAAGUGUACCGCCUGGGGAGUACGGUCGCAAGAUUAAAACUCAAAGAAAUUGACGGGGGCCCGCACAAGCGGAGGAGCAUGUGGCUUAAUUCGAUGCAACGCGAAGAACCUUACCUGGGUUUGACAUGCAGAGUUCAGUCGGUGAAAGCCGAUGGCCGUAAGGCGAUCUGCACAGGUGCUGCAUGGCUGUCGUCAGUUCGUGCCGUGAGGUGCUGGGUUAAGUCCCGCAACGAACGCAACCCUUGUGUUUAGUUGCCACCGGCGUGAUAAACGUCGAGCACUCUAAACAGACUGCCCGUGACAAGCGGGAGGAAGGUGGGGAUGACGUCAAGUCAGUAUGGCCCUUACAUCCAGGGCUGCACACGUGCUACAAUGGCCGGUACAGAGGGCUGCAAGACCGCGAGGUGGAGCAAAUCCUUAAAACCGGCCCCAGUUCAGAUUGAAGGCUGCAACUCGCCUUCAUGAAGCCGGAUUCGCUAGUAAUGGCGCAUCAGCUACGGCGCCGUGAAUACGUUCCCGGGCCUUGUACACACCGCCCGUCACAUCAUGAAAGCCGUCUGCACCCGAAGUCGCUGAUUCAACCCGCAAGGGAGAUAGGUGCCGAAGGUGUGGGUGGUGAUUGGGAUGAAGUCGUAACAAGGUAACC